GCUGGUGUGGCUCAGUGGAUAGAGCAUCGGCCUGCAUACAGAAGGGUCACAGGUUCGAUUCCUGGUCAAGGGCA
rfam:Myotis lucifugus cont2.31392, whole genome shotgun sequence.